UGGGUGGAUCAGUGGCGAACGGGUGAGUAACACGUGAGCAACCUGCCCUCCACUUCGGGAUAAGCCUUGGAAACGGGGUCUAAUACCGGAUAUGAGUGCCUGCUGCAUGGUGGGUGCUGGAAAGUUUUUCGGUGGGGGAUGGGCUCGCGGCCUAUCAGCUUGUUGGUGGGGUAAUGGCCUACCAAGGCGUCGACGGGUAGCCGGCCUGAGAGGGCGACCGGCCACACUGGGACUGAGACACGGCCCAGACUCCUACGGGAGGCAGCAGUGGGGAAUAUUGCACAAUGGGCGAAAGCCUGAUGCAGCGACGCCGCGUGAGGGAUGACGGCCUUCGGGUUGUAAACCUCUUUCAGCAGGGAAGAAGCGCAAGUGACGGUACCUGCAGAAGAAGCGCCGGCUAACUACGUGCCAGCAGCCGCGGUAAUACGUAGGGCGCAAGCGUUGUCCGGAAUUAUUGGGCGUAAAGAGCUCGUAGGCGGUUUGUCGCGUCUGGUGUGAAAACCUCAGGCUCAACCUGGGGCGUGCAUCGGGUACGGGCAGACUAGAGUGCGGUAGGGGAGACUGGAAUUCCUGGUGUAGCGGUGGAAUGCGCAGAUAUCAGGAGGAACACCGAUGGCGAAGGCAGGUCUCUGGGCCGCAACUGACGCUGAGGAGCGAAAGCAUGGGGAGCG
rnacentral:rRNA from 1 species